ACAACCUCUCCUUCUCUCUUCAAUCUCUUUUCACUGAGCCAGUAGAUUUCUAUUUAGGUGGUGCUCAAACGUCCGCGACGUAAAAGGCUUCAAAACCAUUCGAUCAGUUUUGGGUUCUAAGCUGGGCAUUGUUCGGGUCCUUGUCGUGAGAGGUACCGUUAGGGCAUUUUAGUGAGCUGUGCGGUAUUAUUCUAAGAGAUGGAUGAGGUGCCUCUGGAGCAGACUUUGGAGGAAGACAAUGCUGCAGCCUAGUCUCCUUAGGAUUCUCGUAGUUAUUUCUUGUAUUUUGAAUUACUCUUUAGUACUUAAAGUUUUAAAUUAUGACUCAAUUUG